GGGGGUGACAGGUUUCGACGGGAUGAGUGUUGGUCUGGAAUGCGUGUAGAGUUCUCCGAAAUUCUCUUUAAAAAGGCGGAACAGCUUAACUGCUGAAAACAACUACGCACUCGCAGCUUAAUUAAAUAAGUUGCGCGCUGUUACCUUCCAUUGUCUGUCGGGAUUUUAACAGCGUCAUAUUGACGGACUGCUAUUCCGGAUCGUCCCGAUCCGGAAUUUAAGAUCAGGGGCUGGGAAACUCCAAGGUUGUUACUGUCUGAGGAGAAUCUGAGAUCUAAACAGUGACUACACACGUAGAUGUCUUGAUGGGCGCCUUUUCGGACGCGGGUUCAAGUCCCGCCACCUCCACAU
rnacentral:tmRNA from 1 species